rnacentral:tRNA from 1 species
GAGGGUAUGGCUCAGUGGUAGAGUGAGCGCUUAGCAUGCACUAAGUCCUGGGUUUGAUCCCCAGUACCUCCA